ensembl:snoRNA small nucleolar RNA SNORA38
UCCUCCUGCAAAACCAUGUCUUACGCUGCUGUCUUUGUACAUGUAAGAAUUGAAGUCAAAAAAAUAAAAUUGUAAAUUUGGAGAUAUCAGGGGCCAGGUUGCUCUCCACAGGCUCAAAAUCAACUAUCUUACAUAA